rnacentral:rRNA from 1 species
GGCCUAGGAAUCUGCCUGGGAGUGGGGGACAACGUCUCGUAAGGGACGCUAAUACCGCAUACGUCCUACGGCAGAAAGUGGGGGAUCUUCGGACCUCACGCUAUCAGAUGAGCCUGGGCCGGAUUAGCUAGUUGGUGAGGGAAUGGCUCACCCAGGCGACGAUCCGUAACUGGACUGAGAGGAAGAUCAGUCACACUGGAACUGAGACACAGACCAGACUCAUACGGGAGGGAGCAGUGGGGAAUAUUGAACAAUGGGCGAAAGCCUGAUCCAGCCAUGCCGCGUGUGUGAAGAAGGACUUCGGAUUGUAAAGCACUUUAAGUUGGGAGGAAGGGCAGUAAAUUAAUACUUUGCUGUUUUGACGUUACCGACAGAAUAAGCACCGGCUAACUCUGUGCCAGCAGCCGCGGUAAUACAGAGGGUGCAAGCGUUAAUCGGAAUUACUGUUCGUAAAGCGCGCGUAGGUGGUUUGUUAAGUUGGAUGUGAUAUCCCCGCGCUCAACCUGGGCAAGUGCAUCCAAAACUAGCCUGCUAGACUAGU